rnacentral:rRNA from 1 species
UGGGAAUUUUGGACAAUUGGGCGAAAGCCUGAUCCAGCAAUGCCGCGUGUGUGAAGAAGGCCUUCGGGUUGUAAAGCACUUUUGUCCGGAAAGAAAUCCUUGGCUCUAAUACAGUCGGGGGAUGACGGUACCGGAAGAAUAAGCACCGGCUAACUACGUGCCAGCAGCCGCGGUAAUACGUAGGGUGCAAGCGUUAAUCGGAAUUACUGGGCGUAAAGCGUGCGCAGGCGGUUUGCUAAGACCGAUGUGAAAUCCCCGGGCUCAACCUGGGAACUGCAUUGGUGACUGGCAGGCUAGAGUAUGGCAGAGGGGGGUAAAUUCCACGUGUAGCAGUGAAAUGCGUAGAGAUGUGGAGGAAUACCGAUGGCGAAGGCAGCCCCCUGGGCCAAUACUGACGCUCAUGCACGAAAGCGUGGGGAGCAAAACAGGAUUAGAUACCCUGGUAGUCCACGCCCU